GCGCGAGUAGUGUAAUGGAUCAUCACGUAGGAUUCCGGUUCCUGAGAUGAGGGUUCGAUUCCCUCCUUGCGCA
rfam:Oenococcus kitaharae DSM 17330 chromosome, whole genome shotgun sequence.